rnacentral:rRNA from 1 species
CAACGUGGGGAACCUGCCCCAUAGUCUGGGAUACCACUUGGAAACAGGUGCUAAUACCGGAUAAGAAAGCAGAUCGCAUGAUCAGCUUUUAAAAGGCGGCGUAAGCUGUCGCUAUGGGAUGGCCCCGCGGUGCAUUAGCUAGUUGGUAAGGUAAAGGCUUACCAAGGCGAUGAUGCAUAGCCGAGUUGAGAGACUGAUCGGCCACAUUGGGACUGAGACACGGCCCAAACUCCUACGGGAGGCAGCAGGA